UACGAAGGGGGCUAGCGUUGCUCGGAAUCACUGGGCGUAAAGCGCACGUAGGCGGCUUUCUAAGUCAGGGGGGAAAUCCUGGAGCUCAACUCCAGAACUGCCUUUGAUACUGGAGAGCUUGAGUCCGGGAGAGGUGAGUGGAACUCCGAGUGUAGAGGUGAAAUUCGUAGAUAUUCGGAAGAACACCAGUGGCGAAGGCGGCUCACUGGACUGGUAUUGACGCUGAGGCGCGAAAGCCAGGGGAGCAAACGGG
rnacentral:rRNA from 1 species